rnacentral:lncRNA from 1 species
AGAAACCAAGGGAACCUCUUCUAACUACCUGUGGCUCUCCAACUUCUCUACUUUAGGAACGUGUUCACCUGGAAUUUAGGAGUCACAGAUCUGUGGGUGUAGACAGUGUGAGAUCAUCCUCAAGUUACCUGCUGUGCUCUCCAAAGGACACAGACUGAGACUCAUGUGGGUCAUCGUUCUUUAAGAUGAACAGGCAGAAAGGGCCAUGUCCCUUUGGACCUCUAGAGUCCAGACUGUCAUCUUCUUGCAAGCCUCUUCACCUCCGCAGGACCAGGUUUGUUUGUCAAGACACAAGACCAAUCCUACCUUCAUGGAACAGCGAUGAAGCUGUCUUGUAAACCCCAAGGAUCUCUCACCAAAGCUGAAGCACAUUAUGUCAUUUAUAAUGGUUUUCCAAUAAUCUUCAGGGAUCCUCCCGUUUCUACACCCCUCCCUCCAUAACAAAGAAAUCUUCUCACAUCAAUGGUGGCGAUCCAAACUCAUGACCUCAUGCUUGCACAGUGGAUACUUCCAUCACCUGGGCCAUCCCCCAAGUCCCUGCAUUCUCACAUAUCAAAACAUGCAACAUCUUGAAGUUGCUCAGAAAGUAAUGCCUCUUACCUGACGGCCUGAAAUCAAAAGAAGAUGUGUCUUGCCAGUGAAAAGGAUGAAUCCAUGGGAGGCAGCAGAGGAGGCAGAAAAACGCCUGCAGUUUGAGUGGUACCAUCUUAGGAGCUGAGCAGUAGCUUCAGUUUGAUGUUCUUCAGAGCAGAUAAUUAAAAGAAAAGAAAU